CCUACGGGAGGCUGCAGUGAGGAAUAUUGGUCAAUGGGCGGAAGCCUGAACCAGCCAAGUAGCGUGCAGGAUGACGGCCCUACGGGUUGUAAACUGCUUUUAUACGGGAAUAACGCGCCUUACGUGUAGGGCUUUGCAUGUACCGUAUGAAUAAGGAUCGGCUAAAUCCGUGCCAGCAGCCGCGGUAAUACGGAGGGUCCGGGCGUUGUCCGGAUUUAUUGGGUUUAAAGGGAGCGUAGGCGGGAUGUCAAGCGUGCUGUGAAAUGUCCGGGCGCAACCCGGGCCUUGCAGCGCGAACUGGCGUGCUUGAGUGCGCGGAAAGUAGGCGGAAUUCGUCGUGUAGCGGUGAAAUGCUGAGAUAUGACGAAGAACCCCGAUUGCGAAGGCAGCUUGCUGCAGCGGAACUGACGGUGAUGCUCGAAAGCGCGGGUAUCGAACAGGAUUAGAUACCCGGGUAGUC
rnacentral:rRNA from 1 species